rnacentral:rRNA from 1 species
UUGACCUCAAAUCAGGUAGGACUACCCGCCGAACUUAAGCAUAUCAAUAAGCGGAGGAAAAGAAACUAACGAGGAUUCCCCUAGUAACGGCGAGUGAAGCGGGAAGAGCUCAAAUUUGUAAUCUGGCGGCCUUCGGUCGUCCGAGUUGUAGUCUGGAGAAGCGUUUUCCGCGUCGGACCGUGUACAAGUCCCUUGGAACAGGGCGUCGUAGAGGGUGAGAAUCCCGUCUUUGACACGGACUGCCGGCGCUUUGCGAUGCGCUCUCGAAGAGUCGAGUUGUUUGGGAAUGCAGCUCAAAUCGGGUGGUAAAUUCCAUCUAAAGCUAAAUAUUGGCGAAAGACCGAUAGCGAACAAGUACCGUGAGGGAAAGAUGAAAAGCACUUUGGAAAGAGAGUUAAACAGUACGUGAAAUUGUUGAAAGGGAAACGCUUGAAGUCAGUCGCGUCUCCCGGGACUCAGCCUUGCGCCCCUUAACGCUUGGUGUAUUUCCUGGGACGACGGGCCAGCGUCGAUUUCGAUCGUCGGAGAAGGGCCUUUGGGAACGUGGCACCUUCGGGUGUGUUAUAGCCCUGGGUCGUAUGCGACGGUCGGGAUCGAGGAUCGCAGCA